CACCGCGGGUGGAGACGCUCCUGGUUCCUUANGNGGAUUUUGGUCAACCGCUGCGGUAACACACGGGAGACCAGCUUCCGUCCUGGAUCCUCGAGAGGAUGGGGGGACGACGAUUUGUGACACCCAGGCAGACGUGCCCUCGGCCARAAGGCUUGGGGCGCAACUUGCGUUCAAAAACUCGAUGGUUCACGGGAUUCUGCAAUUCACGCCAAGUAUCAAAUUUCKCUACGUUCUUCAUCUAUGCGAUAGCCGAKAUAUCAAUUGCCGAGAGUCAUUUUAAACUUUACGUUGAAUCACUGAUUCCGAACAAACACCGUCUCUUGGUCGUUGAAAGCAGGCUGUUUAUUUGGGUGUACCGUGACACUUUUCGGGCCGGGGUUUGGUGAUAUCCGGAAGCUAUGUGCACAACCAAACCGAAACCGAAKCCUUGAUCAAGGUCGGAACACAUWACCACGGAUUUGGCAGGMAUGKAA
rnacentral:misc_RNA from 1 species